UCUGAUCCUUAUGCUUCCCACCUAUGAAAUAUGGAUGAUACCAAGCUCACAGAAAGUUGUGGAUUAAAUGAAGCAAAUAUGGAACUCCCCAGAGUAGUUCUUGAUAGAUAAUAAAUGCACUAAUUAACUUUACUUAUUUUCUUAGUAUAGCUAGACAGUGAGACGAGUUACCAAAGGUGUAUUUCUAAAAUGUGGAAAGGCCAACCUGAUUUUUCAGUUAACAAAUCUUUGCAAACAUAUAAUUUUCAGUGAGAACAUUAUCACUAUUAAAAAGGACACAGAAUUCUAAUUGACUAAAUGUAAAGUUUUAUUUUUUGAACAGUUGGACGGUAUUUCUCUUGGGAUAUAUUUAUUCUUUUAUAAGAAUUUUAUCAUUUACAUGUAAUAGAAACUGUUGGACUUAAUAGAAGACUUGAAAAAAAAACUGAUAAAUGAAAAAAAGGAAAAAUUAACCUUGGAAUUUAAAAUUCGAGAAGAAGUUACACAGGAGUUUACUCAGUAUUGGGCUCAACGGGAAGCUGACUUUAAGGAAACUCUGCUUCAAGAACGAGAGAUAUUAGAAGAAAAUGCUGAACGUCGUUUGGCUAUCUUCAAGGAUUUGGUUGGUAAAUGUGACACUCGAGAAGAACCAGCGAAAGACAUUUGUGCCACAAAAGUUGAAACUGAAGAAGCUACUGCUUGUUUAGAACUAAAGUUUAAUCAAAUUAAAGCUGAAUUAGCUAAAACCAAAGGAGAAUUAAUCAAAACCAAAGAAGAGUUAAAAAAGAGAGAAGAUGAAUCAGAUUCAUUGAUUCAAGAGCUUGAGACAUCUAAUAAGAAAAUAAUUACACAGAAUCAAAGAAUUAAAGAAUUGAUAAAUAUAAUUGAUCAAAAAGAAGAUACUAUCAACGAAUUUCAGAACCUAAAGUCUCAUAUGGAAAACACAUUUAAAUGCAAUGACAAGGCUGAUACAUCUUCUUUAAUAAUAAACAAUAAAUUGAUUUGUAAUGAAACAGUUGAAGUACCUAAGGACAGCAAAACUAAAAUCUGUUCAGAAAGAAAAAGAGUAAAUGAAAAUGAACUUCAGCAAGAUGAACCACCAGCAAAGAAAGGGUCUAUCCAUGUUAGUUCAGCUAUCACUGAAGACCAAAAGAAAAGUGAAGAAGUGCGACCGAACAUUGCAGAAAUUGAAGACAUCAGAGUUUUACAAGAAAAUAAUGAAGGACUGAGAGCAUUUUUACUCACUAUUGAGAAUGAACUUAAAAAUGAAAAGGAAGAAAAAGCAGAAUUAAAUAAACAGAUUGUUCGUUUUCAGCAGGAACUUUCUCUUUCUGAAAAAAAGAAUUUAACUUUAAGUAAAGAGGUCCAACAAAUUCAGUCAAAUUAUGAUAUUGCAAUUGCUGAAUUACAUGUGCAGAAAAGUAAAAAUCAAGAACAGGAGGAAAAGAUCAUGAAAUUGUCAAAUGAGAUAGAAACUGCUACAAGAAGCAUUACAAAUAAUGUUUCACAAAUAAAAUUAAUGCACACGAAAAUAGACGAACUACGUACUCUUGAUUCAGUUUCUCAGAUUUCAAACAUAGAUUUGCUCAAUCUCAGGGAUCUGUCAAAUGGUUCUGAGGAGGAUAAUUUGCCAAAUACACAGUUACACCUUUUAGGUAAUGAUUAUUUGGUAAGUAAGCAAGUUAAAGAAUAUCGAAUUCAAGAACCCAAUAGGGAAAAUUCUUUCCACUCUAGUAUUGAAGCUAUUUGGGAAGAAUGUAAAGAGAUUGUGAAGGCCUCUUCCAAAAAAAGUCAUCAGAUUGAGGAACUGGAACAACAAAUUGAAAAAUUGCAGGCAGAAGUAAAAGGCUAUAAGGAUGAAAACAAUAGACUAAAAGUAAAGGAGAAGGAGCAUAAAAACCAAGAUGACCUACUAAAAGAAAAAGAAACUCUUAUACAGCAGCUGAAAGAAGAAUUGCAAGAAAAAAAUGUUACUCUUGAUGUUCAAAUACAGCAUGUAGUUGAAGGAAAGAGAGCGCUUUCAGAACUUACACAAGGUGUUACUUGCUAUAAGGCAAAAAUAAAGGAACUUGAAACAAUUUUAGAGACUCAGAAAGUUGAACGUAGUCAUUCAGCCAAGUUAGAACAAGACAUUUUGGAAAAGGAAUCUAUCAUCUUAAAGCUAGAAAGAAAUUUGAAGGAAUUUCAAGAACAUCUUCAGGAUUCUGUCAAAAACACCAAAGAUUUAAGUGUAAAGGAACUCAAGCUGAAAGAAGAAAUCACACAAUUAACAAAUAAUUUGCAAGAUAUGAAGCAUUUACUUCAAUUAAAAGAAGAAGAAGAAGAAACCAACAGGCAAGAAACAGAAAAAUUGAAAGAGGAACUCUCUGCAAGCUCUGCUCGUACCCAGAAUCUGAAAGCAGAUCUUCAGAGGAAGGAAGAAGAUUAUGCUGACCUGAAAGAGAAACUGACUGAUGCCAAAAAGCAGAUUGAGCAAGUACAGAAAGAGGUAUCUGUAAUGCGUGAUGAGGAUAAAUUACUGAGGAUUAAAAUUAAUGAACUGGAGAAAAAGAAAAACCAGUGUUCUCAGGAAUUAGAUAUGAAACAGCGAACCAUUCAGCAACUCAAGGAGCAGUUAAAUAAUCAGAAAGUGGAAGAAGCUAUACAACAGUAUGAGAGAGCAUGCAAAGAUCUAAAUGUUAAAGAGAAAAUAAUUGAAGACAUGCGAAUGACACUAGAAGAACAGGAACAAACUCAGGUAGAACAGGAUCAAGUGCUUGAGGCUAAAUUAGAGGAAGUUGAAAGGCUGGCCACAGAAUUGGAAAAAUGGAAGGAAAAAUGCAAUGAUUUGGAAACCAAAAACAAUCAAAGGUCAAAUAAAGAACAUGAGAACAACACAGAUGUGCUUGGAAAGCUCACUAAUCUUCAAGAUGAGUUACAGGAGUCUGAACAGAAAUAUAAUGCUGAUAGAAAGAAAUGGUUAGAAGAAAAAAUGAUGCUUAUAACUCAAGCGAAAGAAGCAGAGAAUAUACGAAAUAAAGAGAUGAAAAAAUAUGCUGAGGACAGGGAGCGUUUUUUUAAGCAACAGAAUGAAAUGGAAAUACUGACAGCCCAGCUGACAGAGAAAGAUAGUGACCUUCAAAAGUGGCGAGAAGAACGAGAUCAACUGGUUGCAGCUUUAGAAAUACAGCUAAAAGCACUGAUAUCCAGUAAUGUACAGAAAGAUAAUGAAAUUGAACAACUAAAAAGGAUCAUAUCAGAGACUUCUAAAAUAGAAACACAAAUCAUGGAUAUCAAGCCCAAACGUAUUAGUUCAGCAGAUCCUGACAAACUUCAAACUGAACCUCUAUCGACAAGUUUUGAAAUUUCCAGAAAUAAAGUAGAGGAUGGAUCUGUAGUCCUUGACUCUUGUGAAGUGUCAACAGAAAAUGAUCAAAGCACUCGAUUUCCAAAACCUGAGUUAGAGAUUCAAUUUACACCUUUACAGCCAAACAAAAUGGCAGUGAAACACCCUGGUUGUACCACACCAGUGACAGUUAAGAUUCCCAAGGCUCGGAAGAGGAAGAGUAAUGAAAUGGAGGAGGACUUGGUGAAAUGUGAAAAUAAGAAGAAUGCUACACCCAGAACUAAUGUGAAAUUUCCUAUUUCAGAUGAUAGAAAUUCUUCUGUCAAAAAGGAACAAAAGGUUGCCAUACGUCCAUCAUCUAAGAAAACAUAUUCUUUACGGAGUCAGGCAUCCAUAAUUGGUGUAAACCUGGCCACUAAGAAAAAAGAAGGAACACUACAGAAAUUUGGAGACUUCUUACAACAUUCUCCCUCAAUUCUUCAAUCAAAAGCAAAGAAGAUAAUUGAAACAAUGAGCUCUUCAAAGCUCUCAAAUGUAGAAGCAAGUAAAGAAAAUGUUUCUCAACCAAAACGAGCCAAACGGAAAUUAUACACAAGUGAAAUUUCAUCUCCUAUUGAUAUAUCAGGCCAAGUGAUUUUAAUGGACCAGAAAAUGAAGGAGAGUGAUCACCAGAUUAUCAAACGACGACUUCGAACAAAAACAGCCAAAUAAAUCACUUAUGGAAAUGUUUAAUAUAAAUUUUAUAGUCAUAUUCAUUGGAACUUGCAUCCUGUAUUGUAAAUAUAAAUGUAUAUAUUAUGCAUUAAAUCACUCUGCAUAUAGAUUGCUGUUUUAUACAUAGUAUAAUUUUAAUUCAAUAAAUGAGUCAAAAUUUGUAUAUUUUUAUAAGGCUUUUUUAUAAUAGCUUCUUUCAAACUGUAUUUCCCUAUUAUCUCAGACAUUGGAUCAGUGAAGAUCCUAGGAAAGAGGCUGUUAUUCUCAUUUAUUUUGCUAUACAGGAUGUAAUAGGUCAGGUAUUUGGUUUACUUAUAUUUAACAAUGUCUUAUGAAUUUUUUUUUACUUUAUCUGUUAUACAACUGAUUUUACAUAUCUGUUUGGAUUAUAGCUAGGAUUUGGAGAAUAAGUGUGUACAGAUCACAAAACAUGUAUAUACAUUAUUUAGAAAAGAUCUCAAGUCUUUAAUUAGAAUGUCUCACUUAUUUUGUAAACAUUUUGUGGGUACAUAGUACAUGUAUAUAUUUACGGGGUAUGUGAGAUGUUUUGACACAGGCAUGCAAUGUGAAAUAUGUGUAUCAUGGAGAAUGAGGUAUCCAUCCCCUCAAGCAUUUUUCCUUUGAAUUACAAAUAAUCCAGUUACAUUCUUUAGAUCAUUUAAAAAUAUACAAGUAAGUUAUUAUUGAUUAUAGUCACUCUAUUGUGCUAUCAGAUAGUAAAUCAUUCUUUUUAUCUUAGUACCCAUUAACCAUCCCCACCUCCCCCUGCAACCGUCAGUACCCUUACCAGCCACUGGUAACCAUUCUUCUACUCUGUAUGCCCAUGAGGUCAAUUGAUUUUAUUUUUAGAUCCCAUAAAUAAAUGAGAACAUGCAGUCUU
rnacentral:sRNA from 1 species